rnacentral:rRNA from 1 species
CCCUUAGAUGUUCUGGGCUGCACGCGCGCUACACUGAAGCGUUCAACGAGUAUUCACCUUGCCCGGGAGGGUUGGGUAAUCUUUUGAAAACGCUUCGUGAUGGGGAUAGAUUAUUGCAAUUAUUCAUCUUCAACGAGGAAUUCCUAGUAAACGCAAGUCAUCAGCUUGCAUUGAUUACGUCCCUGCCCUUUGUACACACCGCCCGUCGCACCUACCGAUUGAAUGGUCCGGUGAAAUCUUCGGAUCUGAGAGAUGUCUGAUUAAUUUCGGACGCCUUUUGGAAAAGUUGUUUAAACCUUACCAUUUAGAGGAAGGUGAAGUCGUAACA